GACGAACGCUGGCGGCGUGCUUAACACAUGCAAGUCGAACGGAAAGGCCCUGCUUGCAGGGUACUCGAGUGGCGGACGGGUGAGUAACACGUGGGUGAUCUGCCCUGCACUUCGGGAUAAGCUUGGGAAACUGGGUCUAAUACCGGAUAGGACCGCACUUUAGUGUGUGUGGUGGAAAGUUUUUUCGGUGUAGGAUGAGCUCGCGGCCUAUCAGCUUGUUGGUGGGGUAAUGGCCUACCAAGGCGGCGACGGGUAGCCGGCCUGAGAGGGUGUACGGCCACAUUGGGACUGAGAUACGGCCCAGACUCCUACGGGAGGCAGCAGUGGGGAAUAUUGCACAAUGGGCGCAAGCCUGAUGCAGCGACGCCGCGUGGGGGAUGAAGGCCUUCGGGUUGUAAACUCCUUUCGCUAGGGACGAAGCUUUUUGUGACGGUACCUAGAGAAGAAGCACCGGCUAACUACGUG
rnacentral:rRNA from 1 species